rnacentral:rRNA from 1 species
UACGUAGGGACCAAGCGUUGUCCGGAAUCACUGGGCGUAAAGGGCGCGUAGGCGGCUGUUCAAGUCGGGGGUGAAAUCCCGUGGCUCAACCACGGAAUGGCCUUCGAUACUGGACGGCUCGAGACCGGAAGAGGUGAGUGGAACUGCGAGUGUAGAGGUGAAAAUUCGUAGAUAUUCGCAAGAACACCAGUGGCGAAGGCGGCUCACUGGCCCGGUACUGACGCUGAGGUGCGAAAGCGUGGGAGCAACAGG